UACGUAGGGUGCGAGCGUUAAUCGGAAUUACUGGGCGUAAAGCGUGCGCAGGCGGUUCUCCAAGUCCGUUGUGAAAUCCCCGGGCUUAACCUGGGAACUGCAUUGGUGACUGCAUCGCUCGAGUAUGGCAGAGGGGGGUAGAAUUCCACGUGUAGCAGUGAAAUGCGUAGAGAUGUGGAGGAAUACCGAUGGCGAAGGCAGCCCCCUGGGUCAAUACUGACGCUCAUGCACGAAAGCGUGGGGAGCAAACAGG
rnacentral:rRNA from 1 species